CUCACGUUGGUUGCUAUCGGGCUUAAGCCAUAAAAAUCGAAGAAAAAAAGAAGAAGACGAAGAGACUUUCACUUGUCAUUUCAAUGUCACUUUCCGGCCCACAAGCAUAAACGCCACCGGCAACGGAAGUUCCCAAAAUCCAAACAAAUGUUGGAAGAUAUUUUUAAGUCUCCGCAUCUUUCUUACUUUCCUAUAUGAAAAUAAAAUGUAAGUAUCACAAUUACACACAUACAAGUUUUUUUUUUUAAUUCAGUUUCAUAAUUACCAAUUUUUAGUGAAUAAUCCUGAAAUUUAUGAAAAUACAUACAUUUUAAGGUUAUGUCAUAAUGUUUUGAUUGUUAUAUUUGAUUUUGUUUUUGUUAUUUUAGUGGACUACACCAACAAAGGUUAUGUGUUUUGCACCAGAUUGAAAGCAUCAUAGCGAAAAACGGACCUGUCAUAUCUUUAAAUUUUCAAAAGAGCCCCUGGAAAAAGAAAAAUGAAUAUCUUUGCCAAGGAAUAGGUACUAAGGCAAAUGGAUAAAAAACCUUCAGUCCAUGCAUUGGUAUGUAAUUGUUGACAAAAAUACAAUGAAUGGCCUCACUACUUUUCCACAUGCAAAGAGGUUAACCAAGGAGAAAUUAAAGAAAUUGUCAAAAACCUAGGUAAAUACAGAAUUGCUUAGUACAAACAUAUCUAUACCCAGUACAAGUUCGUCCACUUCUUUGAAGCAUGGUACUUCAAACAGAAACACUGUCAACAAUUUUGUAGAAGGUGAGCCGGUGUCAAAUUCCAGUAAGGGACAUGAUUUCAAUUUUGCACCAACAGCAGAGCU